GGUGGGGGACGGACAGAGCACACCGCAGGGCAGGUUUCCCGCUUGGAAGGGGGGGUGGGGGACGGACAGAGCACACCGCAGGGCAGGUUUCCCGCUUGGAAGGGGGGUGGGGGACGGACAGAGCACACCGCAGGGCAGGUUUCACGCUUGGAAGGGGGGAUCGGUGAGGAAGAAGCACCCCGCAGGACACGGUUCCCGCUUGGAAGGGGGGGUGGGGGACGGACAGAGCACACCGCAGGGCAGGUUUCACGCUUGGAAGGGGGGGUGGGGGACGGACAGAGCACACCGCAGGGCAGGUUUCCCGCUUGGAAGGGGGGGUGGGGGACGGACAGAGCACACCGCAGGGCAGGUUUCACGCUUGGAAGGGGGGGUGGGGGACGGAC